rnacentral:rRNA from 1 species
UACGUAGGUGGCAAGCGUUGUCCGGAUUUACUGGGCGUAAAGGGCGUGCAGGCGGUCUGCUAAGUCUAGGGUGAAAGCUCCCGGCUCAACUGGGAGAGGUCCUUGGAUACUGGCGGACUUGAGGGAGGUAGAGGAGAGUGGAAUUGUCGGUGUAGCGGUGAAAUGCGUAGAGAUCGACAAGAACACCGGUGGCGAAGGCGGGUCUCUGGACAGUUCCUGACGCUGAGGGACGAAAGCUAGGGGAGCAAACGGG